rnacentral:piRNA from 1 species
UGUGGUUUGAUGGAAAAGAACGAGGCUUC